AUUAGUUAGAAAAUUGGCUAAGAUCAAGUGUAGUAUCUGUUCUUAUCAGUUUAAUAUCUGAUAUGCCCUUGAUGAGAGGACUUUAUAUUAAACGGGUUUUUGGCACUGGGAGUUGGGCCCGGAGCUUGCUCCCUCCGCUCCACCCAUCAUCCCGGUAUUGCAGUGCCUCUGGGAACAUUAUUAUUUU
rnacentral:snRNA from 1 species